rnacentral:rRNA from 1 species
CCCUACGGGGUGCACCAGGAGCAAACUCGCGUUGAGAAUGCCGAUGAGUUCUUCGAAGGCAAGUUCGCCAACGGCCUGGAGUAUGCUGCCCGGCUGCGCCUGCUGCCGGAGGGGGGGACGGUCCGUGCGGAAGGCGGUGCCUUGCGGUUUGAGCGGUGCGACUCGGUGACCUUGCUCCUCGCCUGCGGAACGAACUACGUGAUGGAUGCCUCCCGGCACUACCUGGGCGAACAUCCAGGGCAGCGUCUGCUCGCCCAGCUCGACCAAUCCGCGAAGACGCCGUGGGAUACACUGCGGGGCGAGCAGCGGGAAGACCUUUCUUCGCUGAUGGGGCGGGUUGCCCUCGAUCUUGGCUCCUCUCCGGCGGCUACGCGUGCCCUGCCCACCAACGAGCGCCUUGCCGCCUACGGAAAGGGCGGCACCGAUCCGGAGAUGGAGAGC